rnacentral:misc_RNA from 1 species
AACGCACAUUGCGCCCGCUAGUAUUCUGGCGGGCAUGCCUGUUCGAGCGUCAUUUCAACCCUCAAGCCCAGCUUGGUGUUGGGGACCGGCCGCUGCCUGACCGCCGCGGCCGCCCCCGAAACGCAGUGGCGGCCUCGCCGCAGCCUCCCUUGCGUAGUAGCACAUCUCGCACCGGAGCGCGGCGCGGCCACGCCGUAAAACCCCCCAGACUUCUGAAUGUUGACCUCGGAUCAGGUAGGAAUACCCGCUGAACUUAA